rnacentral:rRNA from 1 species
GUGGGGAAUAUUGGACAAUGGGGGGAACCCUGAUCCAGCCAUGCCGCGUGUGUGAAGAAGGUCUUCGGAUUGUAAAGCACUUUAAGUUGGGAGGAAGGGUAGUAACCUAAUACGUUGCUACUUUGACGUUACCGACAGAAUAAGCACCGGCUAACUUCGUGCCAGCAGCCGCGGUAAUACGAAGGGUGCAAGCGUUAAUCGGAAUUACUGGGCGUAAAGCGCGCGUAGGUGGUUUUGUAAGUUGGAGGUGAAAUCCCCGGGCUCAACCUGGGAACUGCCUCCAAAACUGCAUGACUAGAGUACGGUAGAGGGUAGUGGAAUUUCCUGUGUAGCGGUGAAAUGCGUAGAUAUAGGAAGGAACACCAGUGGCGAAGGCGACUACCUGGACUGAUACUGACACUGAGGUGCGAAAGCGUGGGGAGCAAACAGGAUUAGAAACCCUGGUAGUCC